rnacentral:miRNA from 1 species
GAUCACUAGCUCUUCUGUAGC